rnacentral:rRNA from 1 species
ACUCAAAGGAAUUGACGGGGGCCCGCACAAGCGGCGGAGCAUGUGGCUUAAUUCGAUGCAACGCGAAGAACCUUACCUGGGUUUGACAUGCGCGGUAAUCCUGUAGAGAUACAGGGUCCUUCGGGGCCGUGUACAGGUGGUGCAUGGCUGUCGUCAGCUCGUGUCGUGAGAUGUUGGGUUAAGUCCCGCAACGAGCGCAACCCUUGUUCCAUGUUGCCAGCACGUGAUGGUGGGGACUCAUGGGAGACUGCCGGGGUCAACUCGGAGGAAGGUGGGGAUGACGUCAAGUCAUCAUGCCCCUUAUGUCCAGGGCUGCACACAUGCUACAAUGGCUCAUACAGAGGGCUGCGAUGCCGUGAGGCCGAGCGAAUCCCUUAAAGUGAGUCUCAGUUCGGAUCGGGGUCUGCAACUCGACCCCGUGAAGUCGGAGUCGCUAGUAAUCGCAGAUCAGCAACGCUGCGGUGAAUACGUUCCCGGGCCUUGUACACACCGCCCGU